AAGAUUUGAAGAUGGAGUAGAAGCAGACGAGGUGCGGUCACCGGGAGCCAUGGCGGAAAGCAGGACGGUGCGGCCGCUGGGGAGCUCCGUGGAGAGGACGGCGAACGGCACUCUCCACCAAAAUGUUACGCGGACGAAGGAUUAAGCACUAGAGAUUAUUUGCAAUGUAUAUUGACAAAAGACAACUGCAGCGCUGGCCAGUUCAGCCGACAGCUCGAGAACAAGAAGCAGUUC
rnacentral:lncRNA from 1 species